GGCGGUAUAGCUCAGUGAUAGAGCAUUUCACUGUUACAUCGAGAGGUCCGUGGUUCGAAUACGCAUACCCUCU